UGGCUCAGAUGGUAAAGCGUCUCCCUGCAAUGGGGGAGAUCCAGGUUCAAUUCCUGG
rnacentral:tRNA from 1 species